rfam:Pilayella littoralis complete mitochondrial genome
GUGAGCCGUGUGCGAUGAAAGUCGCAAGCACGGUUCUGAUGGGGGGAAAACGAGAGAUCGUCUACCUAUCCAACU